UUUUGGGUCAUUUUUUGAGUAACCCAAACGCUGGGUUAGCAGUCGGGUCCAAUUGAGUGACAGUUGAGAGAGUAAACCCCUCCCACUCCUCGACGCAUCAGACAAACUUUACCUUCGCGGGCAUUUUGAUCCACCUCAUCUCGGAAAGUUGUUAUUCGGAGAAGAAAAGCGUGCAGAAUAACAGCUAAUAUUAAUGGAUCAUUCUAUUCAAGAGAAAGUCAACUGGAACGUGGAUGUUUUCAUAACAGGCUUAAAGAUGAACAAAUUGAUAAAGAAACCCUCCUGCUGAACAUCCACUUCCAAAAGUGCACGCCACACUGUUGUCUACAACUCCCAGGAAAAGAAUCCUCUUUAGUAAGACUGCUCCGUGGAUAUGUCAGGUUAAGCAGUGCUGAAACCGAAAGAACUAACGCUCUUUAAAAUGUUUUGUGAGUUUAUAUGAAGAGGAAAGUUACGGUGUCCCUUUUUCACAUCCAUAACGCUUCUUUAUUUCUUUUUUUAUAGAAAACUUGUGCAUAGACUGAUAUUUUAUCAUAUAAAUGCGGUUCUAUCAACAAGGGUUUAGUAAAAUACUUUUUAUAGUGUUUUUAUGUCGCAUCCAUAACGCUGGAAUUGCCCUAAAGCAUUUUACUCGUGCCACUUUGUUAACUGUAUAUGAAUUUUUGAAGUGUUAAGUUGUCUAACUAUUUAUAUUUACUUGUGCCACUUUAAUAACCUUG